rnacentral:rRNA from 1 species
UACGUAGGGUGCGAGCGUUGUCCGGAAUUACUGGGCGUAAAGAGCUCGUAGGUGGUUUGUCGCGUUGUUCGUGAAAACUCACAGCUCAACUGUGGGCGUGCGGGCGAUACGGGCAGACUAGAGUACUGCAGGGGAGACUGGAAUUCCUGGUGUAGCGGUGGAAUGCGCAGAUAUCAGGAGGAACACCGGUGGCGAAGGCGGGUCUCUGGGCAGUAACUGACGCUGAGGAGCGAAAGCGUGGGGAGCAAACAGG